AUUGAACGCUGGCGGCAUGCUUUACACAUGCAAGUCGGACGGCAGCACAGAGAAGCUUGCUCCUUGGGUGGCGAGUGGCGAACGGGUGAGUAGUAUAUCGGAACGUACCGAGUAAUGGGGGAUAACUAAUCGAAAGAUUAGCUAAUACCGCAUAUUCCCUGAUGAGGAAAGCAGGGGACCUUCGGGCCUUGCGUUAUUCGAGCGGCCGGUAUCUGCUUAGCUAGGUGGUGGGGUAAAGGCCUACCAAGGCGGCGAUCAGUAGCGGGUGUGAGAGGAGGAAGCGCGCCACUGAGACUGAGACGCGGCCCAGGCUCCUAGGGGAGGCCCAAGUUGGGAAUGUUGGAAGAUGGGCGGAAGCCUGCUCCAGCCACGCAGGGUGUCUGCAGCAGGCCUUCGGGUGGUAAAGGACCUUUGUCAGGGAAGACAAGUCUGUUGAUAAUAUAGACAGCUGAUGACGGUACCUGAAGAAUAAGCACCGGCUAACUACGUG
rnacentral:rRNA from 1 species